UACGAGGGGGGCGAGCGUUGUUCGGAAUUAUUGGGCGUAAAGGGUGCGUAGGCGGUUUGGUAAGUCUGUGGUGAAAGCCCGGAGCUCAACUCCGGGUCUGCCGCGGAUACUGCGAGGCUUGAGUGCUGUAGAGGGGGGUAGAAUGCCGGGUGUAGCGGUGGAAUGCGUAGAGAUCCGGCAGAAGACCGGUGGCGAAGGCGGCCCCCUGGGCAGUAACUGACACUGAGGCGCGACAGCGUGGGGAGCAAACAGG
rnacentral:rRNA from 1 species